rnacentral:lncRNA from 1 species
UAGCAACAGUGAAGACCAUAAAAGGGGCUCUUAGACCCCCACUCUCUUACUCUUACUCCUUUGUUCCUUUACCUCUCACUUCUCUCUCCUCUUCCCUUUCUCUUUGUCUUCUCCUCUCCUCUCUACUUCUCUCUCUCUCUAGCCUUUCCUCUCCCCCAGUUCUCUAUUCCCCCCUGCAUUUCUCUAAUAAAGCUCUUAAACCAUAGACAGCCUCUGCUCCAUCAAGACCAGCUGCACACUCUGGUUUGCUAUUUCAGCUUUGCUAGCCUCAGAGCUGUUCAACUUUCACAAGGAACAAUAUUUUCUGUAUGGAAUACAUGAACAUACCUUUCUUUAAUUCUUGUUAUUUCCAAACAACUGAAGUGUACCGCCUGGAAUAAAUGCAAAUGAAGUUGCAAAUAUUUGAAUUUCAUGGUCAUCGCCGAGGUGAAGAGAGUAUACAAAAUUCUAAAUAUAAAGCGAGAAAGGAAAGUGCCAGCUGAGUACCAGAAUUUAUCUCCUUUUCCUUUCUUACUCAAGAUGCUCAAUGUGAUCCAUAGCUUCAGCCUCCAACCACCAUCCCUUCCCCACUGGGAUGGAUUGUCCCUCCUUAUGAAUGAAUUCUUUCUAAGCAGCGUUUUUGUGGCAGUGAUGUAAAACAGAUGUUGAGUUUCCAGUUCUGCUGUGUGUGUACCAUCCCACUCCUCAUCAUGAAUGGCUUUACCAUCACAUUUCACAUUUAUCCUGUCAAGGAACUGCUGGACCACAUGAAGAGGCUGGAUUUGUGGAACGAAAGCAACAGGACCCCCGCGGCUGAGGCAAUAGCAGGAUAUCAGUGAGGAGCCCUGGUUUUCAAUAUAAAUUAGAACUGUGUCAUCACAGAAUCAGAAGCAAACUCAUUCAGCUGACUGAAAACUAAAAAUGUCACCUAACUCAAGAUACUCUUGUCUAAUCCAAACAUAUAUCCACCACUCAAUCUCUUCUUGCCAGUCACAUGAAGGUGGCAUGUUUUUAUCCUUGCAUCUGAAAGAAAAGUCUUCUGAGAGGAUUGGAACAGGAGCUCAAUCCACAGCGAUGAGCAACAGAGAAUGGAUGUUAUUUCCUUAAGUGUGUACAGAGCCCUGGAUCACUGUAGGAGAGGAGGAAGGGUGUGCUUAUUGACCACUGCCUUCUGAAUAGCAUCGGGUGGCUCACAAUGGAAUAUGAGUGUGUUUGCUCAGUUCUAGUGAGCACAUGCCAUCACCUCAAUUGGACAUAAGUGGAAGACUGAUUGACAGCCUGAGUGUUGAGCCCGAUGAGUGCUUUCUUUUAUUGGAUUUACAAGACUGUUUAUUAUGUAGUGAGUGCCACUGACAAAGUAGUAUAUUCCUGAGAAGAUGAAUUGCACACAGUAAGCCCAGGCUGAUCCUGAUGUUUCAGUAAAUUAUUGAAUGCUCAUACCAUGAAAUUAUCAGUGUGACAUUUCUCAAAAGUCCAA